AGUCGAGCGGCAGCACGGGUACUUGUACCUGGUGGCGAGCGGCGGACGGGUGAGUAAUGCCUAGGAAUCUGCCUGGUAGUGGGGGAUAACGCUCGGAAACGGACGCUAAUACCGCAUACGUCCUACGGGAGAAAGCAGGGGACUUUCGGGCCUUGCGCUAUCAGAUGAGCCUAGGUCGGAUUAGCUAGUUGGUGAGGUAAUGGCUCACCAAGGCGACGAUCCGUAACUGGUCUGAGAGGAUGAUCAGUCACACUGGAACUGAGACACGGUCCAGACUCCUACGGGAGGCAGCAGUGGGGAAUAUUGGACAAUGGGCGAAAGCCUGAUCCAGCCAUGCCGCGUGUGUGAAGAAGGUCUUCGGAUUGUAAAGCACUUUAAGUUGGGAGGAAGGGCAGUUACCUAAUACGUGAUUGUUUUGACGUUACCGACAGAAUAAGCACCGGCUAACUCUGUGCCAGCAGCCGCGGUAAUACAGAGGGUGCAAGCGUUAAUCGGAAUUACUGGGCGUAAAGCGCGCGUAGGUGGUUUGUUAAGUUGGAUGUGAAAUCCCCGGGCUCAACCUGGGAACUGCAUCCAAAACUGGCAAGCUAGAGUAUGGUAGAGGGUGGUGGAAUUUCCUGUGUAGCGGUGAAAUGCGUAGAUAUAGGAAGGAACACCAGUGGCGAAGGCGACCAUCUGGACUGAUACUGACACUGAGGUGCGAAAGCGCGGGGAGCAAACAGGAUUAGAUACCCUGGUAGUCCACGCCGUAAACGAUGUCAACUAGCCGUUGGGAGCCUUGAGCUCUUAGUGGCGCAGCUAACGCAUUAAGUUGACCGCCUGGGGAGUACGGCCGCAAGGUUAAAACUCAAAUGAAUUGAC
rnacentral:rRNA from 1 species